UGCCUAAUACAUGCAAGUCGAACGAGAAAGCAGGAGCAAUCUUGUGAGUAAAGUGGCGUACGGGUGAGUAACACGUGGAUCAUCUACCUCUUUGUGGGGGAUAACCCUGGGAAACCGGAGCUAAUACCGCAUAAGUCCGAGAGGAGAAAGCAGCAAUGCGCAGAGAGAGGAGUCCGCGGCCGAUUAGCUAGUUGGUAGGGUAAAGGCCUACCAAGGCUACGAUCGGUAGCCGGCCUGAGAGGGCACACGGCCACACUGGCACUGAAACACGGGCCAGACUCCUACGGGAGGCAGCAGUGGGGAAUCUUGCACAAUGGGGGCAACCCUGAUGCAGCGACGCCGCGUGAGCGAUGAAGCCCCUCGGGGUGUAAAGCUCUUUCGGCAGGGAAGAUGAUGACGGUACCUGCAGAAGCAGCUGCGGCUAACUACGUGCCAGCAGCCGCGGUAAUACGUAGGCAGCAAGCGUUGUUCGGAGUUACUGGGCGUAAAGGGUGCGUAGGCGGUGCGGUAAGUCUGUGGUGAAAUCUCUGGGCUCAACUCAGAGUCUGCCAUAGAAACUGCAGUGCUGGAGUGUGGGAGAGGUGAGUGGAAUUCCCGGUGUAGCGGGUGAAAUGCGUAGAUAUCGGGAGGGAACACCUGUGGCGAAAGCGGCUCACUGGACCCACAAUCUGACGCUGAGGGCGCGAAAAGCUAGGGGAGCAAAACAGGGAUUUAGAUACCCCUGGUAGUUCCUAGCCCUAAAACGAUGAUUGCUUGGGUGUGUUGGGUACCCCAAUCCCCAACGUGCAGAAGCUAACGGCGAUAAGCAAUCCCGCCUGGGGAGUACGGUCGCAAGACUGAAACUCAAAAGGGAAUUGACGGGGGGCCCGCACAAAGCGGUGGAGCAUGUGGUUCAAUUGGACGCAACGCGAAGAACCUUACCUGGGCUCGAAAUGUAGUGGACCGGGGUGGAAACAUCCCUUCCCGCAAGGGCUGCUAUAUAGGUGCUGCAUGGCUGUCGUCAGCUCGUGUCGUGAGAUGUUGGGUUAAGUCCCGCAACGAGCGCAACCCUUAUUGUCAGUUGCCAUCAUUUAGUUGGGCACUCUGGCGAAACCGCCUCGGAUAACGGGGAGGAAGGUGGGGAUGACGUCAAGUCCUCAUGGCCUUUAUGUCCAGGGCUACACACGUGCUACAAUGGUCGGUACAAACCGUCGCAAACCCGCGAGGGGGAGCUAAUCGGAAAAAGCCGACCUCAGUUCGGAUUGGAGUCUGCAACUCGACUCCAUGAAGCUGGAAUCGCUAGUAAUCGCGGAUCAGAACGCCGCGGUGAAUACGUUCCCGGGCCUUGCACACACCGCCCGUCACA
rnacentral:rRNA from 1 species